rnacentral:rRNA from 1 species
AAAUUGAAGAGUUUGAUCAUGGCUCAGAUUGAACGCUGGCGGCAGGCCUAACACAUGCAAGUCGAACGGUAACAGGAAGCAGCUUGCUGCUUCGCUGACGAGUGGCGGACGGGUGAGUAAUGUCUGGGAAACUGCCUGAUGGAGGGGGAUAACUACUGGAAACGGUAGCUAAUACCGCAUAACGUCGCAAGACCAAAGAGGGGGACCUUCGGGCCUCUUGCCAUCGGAUGUGCCCAGAUGGGAUUAGCUUGUUGGUGGGGUAACGGCUCACCAAGGCGACGAUCCCUAGCUGGUCUGAGAGGAUGACCAGCCACACUGGAACUGAGACACGGUCCAGACUCCUACGGGAGGCAGCAGUGGGGAAUAUUGCACAAUGGGCGCAAGCCUGAUGCAG